rnacentral:rRNA from 1 species
CGUAGGGGGCAAGCGUUGUCCGGAAUCAUUGGGCGUAAAGCGCGUGUAGGCGGCCAGAUAAGUCCGCUGUGAAAUCUCGAGGCUCAACUUCGAGCUGUCGGUGGAAACUGUUUGGCUAGAGUCCGGAAGAGGAGAAUGGAAUUCCUGGUGUAGCGGUGAAAUGCGCAGAUAUCAGGAAGAACACCCGUGGCGAAGGCGGUUCUCUGGGACGGUACUGACGCUGAGACGCGAAAGCGUGGGGAGCGAACAGGAUUAGAUACCCUGGUAGUCCACGCCGUAAACGAUGGGAACUAGGUGUGGGGGGUGUCGACUCCCUCCGUGCCGAAGCUAACGCAUUAAGUUCCCCGCCUGGGGAGUACGGCCGCAAGGCUA